rnacentral:rRNA from 1 species
ACGAGCGCUGGCGGCGUGCUUAACACAUGCAAGUCGAACGGAAAGGCCCUGCUUUUGUGGGGUGCUCGAGUGGCGAACGGGUGAGUAACACGUGAGUAACCUGCCCUUGACUUUGGGAUAACUUCAGGAAACUGGGGCUAAUACCGGAUAGGAGCUCCUGCUGCAUGGUGGGGGUUGGAAAGUUUCGGCGGUUGGGGAUGGACUCGCGGCUUAUCAGCUUGUUGGUGGGGUAGUGGCUUACCAAGGCUUUGACGGGUAGCCGGCCUGAGAGGGUGACCGGCCACAUUGGGACUGAGACACGGCCCAGACUCCUACGGGAGGCAGCAGUGGGGAAUAUUGCACAAUGGGCGGAAGCCUGAUGCAGCAACGCCGCGUGCGGGAUGACGGCCUUCGGGUUGUAAACCGCUUUCGCCUGUGACGAAGCGUGAGUGACGGUAAUGGGUAAAGAAGCACCGGCUAACUACGUG